UACGAAGGGGGCUAGCGUUGCUCGGAAUUACUGGGCGUAAAGCGUGCGUAGACGGUUAUGUAAGUCAGGUGUGAAAGCCCCGGGCUCAACCUGGGAAUUGCAUUUGAGACUGCAUAGCUAGGGUGCGGAAGAGGGAAGCGGAAUUUCCGGUGUAGCGGGUGAAAAUGCGUAGAUAUCGGAAGGAACACCAGUGGCGAAAGCGGCUUCCUGGUCCAGCACCGACGUUCAGGCACGAAAGCGUGGGGAGCAACAGG
rnacentral:rRNA from 1 species